AAGCCAUGAUUCGGGCUCUUCUGAAAAUACUCUUUAAAUCUCUCUCAGGCUUCAUGUAGUUGUUCCCCCAGUUGCUGCUUAAAUUCAUAUAUCUUGUCAUGAAUUU